AUGCAGAUCUUUGUGAAGACGCUGACGGGGAAGACGAUCACGCUGGAGGUGGAGUCGUCGGACACGAUCGACAACGUCAAGGCCAAGAUCCAGGACAAGGAGGGGAUCCCGCCGGACCAGCAGCGGCUCAUCUUCGCCGGGAAGCAGCUGGAGGACGGGCGCACGCUGGCCGACUACAACAUCCAGAAGGAGUCGACGCUGCACCUGGUCCUCCGCCUCCGCGGCGGCGCCAAGAAGCGCAAGAAGAAGACCUACUCGACGCCCAAGAAGGUCAAGCACGAGCGCGAGAAGACCCCGCUCGCCGUGCUCGGCUACUACAGGGUGGACGACGCGACGGGCAAGGUGGAGAGGCUGCGCAAGGAGUGCCCCAACCCGGACUGCGGCGCCGGGACCUUCAUGGCGGCGCACGCCGACCGCCACGCCUGCGGCAAGUGCGGCCUCACCUACGCCUACGCCGAGGCCCAGAGCCCAGAGAUCGACAGUGAUUGA
rnacentral:rRNA from 1 species